UCCUUGGAGGACUAGUGGUUAGGACACAGCACUGUCACUGCUGCGGCCCAGGUUCGAUUCCCAGCUAGGGAA